CAUCCUCAAGAAAUGAAUCUAUUUAAUUUUUAGUACCAGAUUCACCCUUUCGAUUAUACACUAGAUAUGAUGUUGUUUCCACCGAUUGGAAUCUAUCGAUCAAAUUUUCUCUUUCUCCUUCUGUCUCCAUUUUUCUUUCAGCCAUCACCAGAUUCACCACCACAACCACCACCACCACCACCAUGUCCGUUGCAUCCAAUAGAUCCGGAAUCAAUCGAAACUAUCAUCAACAUCAUAUGGUUCGCGUUCAGAGAGAGGUUGUUCUUCUUAUAAAGAUUAAUUUCCGAAUCAGAUUGAAAGAGAUCGAGAUCUGAUUUUAGGUUUAUAUUUUGAGGAAAUUUAGAGUUGAACUUGUUCAAAUUAUUGAAGCUCAAGAAGUAAUUUUGAUGAUGGUGGUGGUGUUGCGGUGGUGAAGGAAGAGGUAUGAUGUUUUUUAUUUCGUUCUACAGAUAUAAUUUAAGUUAUAUCUAUUUUUAAACUGGUGAUGAAGAUAAAUUGGGAUUGUAUUGAUUAUCAUUUUUCUCUUGCUUAAGUUUCUGGUGGUGGUGGUGUUUAACAUGAUUGUUGUUAUAAGUGGAGGUAAGGUUAUAAUGAUGAAAUUAAUUGUCGGUAGAGAUAAUGAUGGCUCUGGUUGUGGUUGUGGUUGCGGUGAUAGUGAUGGUGGAGAUUGGGUGUGGCCGUGGUUGUUGGGAGUUGGUGGAAGUGGUGAUACUUCUGGCAAUUAUCAAUGCCUUCGCCUGUAUUUUCUGGUAUUAGGACAAGUCUAUACGCCUCUGCCUCGUGACAUUGUCACAUUUGUUGUAACAUAUUUAUCAUUCAAUCUGCUCUAUGAUUAUGUGGUUACAUUACAUAUGAUCAUUCAAUCUUUUAGCCUUGCUUAAUGUGCCAAAGGUAGGCAUCAGUAAGAGUGACUCAACUUCGAUAGAUGAUCAUAGUUGUUGGCAAAGAUCAGAAGACAUGAAUUAUCCCCGUCCGUCGAAAUGAUUAUUGAUACUUUUGUUUUACUACUUUGUUUUCUACAGAAUGGUGUAAAAAUAAGGUCAUCUUGAUGUCUGAAAAGCAGACUGGAAAGCAAAUGGUACAGGGGGAAGCUUUAAAAGCUCUAGCACCAGUAGCUGAUUAGUCACUAGUACCUUGUGGCAUCUGCCUUACAUUUUAUAUGCAUUUUGCAGGUUUAUGUUACCUUUGAAGAUGAAGGAGGUGCUCAAAGCAAGGGGAUCAGGAUAAAGCUUAUGGUUAAGUCUCUAUCAAACUGGAUAAAGCUCGAGUUUCUUCCUUCUGUGUCUUUUGAUUGUAAGGGCUGUCUUCUAAUUAGACAACCUUUAUAUCUUGGUGACGCAAGGAACUUUGUUUCUGUUGGUGGCGGCAUUACCGAAGUUCGAAGGUUCCAUUCUAGUUUCCAUACCGCAGAGUGGUUUAACCUUGACCAAGCUUGCAGGGUUGUGAAGGCUUGCUGCAAAAGAAGGCGUACAAAAUACUAUGCAUUAGUCUCGAGGUUGUCACGGAUUGUGCAAGUCUCUGGCUUUUCAGAUUUAACAUCAUUCUCCAGUGUUAGUGGUUGACACUAUUUUCUUGAUCUUACUUGUAGUGCUUCAGGGAAUAGUCUAAAUGAGCUUGUUCUGAUAUUAAUGAUCUGUGUUUUGGUACCCUUGAUUUGAGUUAAACAAGUAGAUUCUGCAAAAAUGUGUAAUUUUUCUACUUUCUUGUUCAGGAAUGAAUCUGAUUCAAACACAAUGAAAUAUAGUUUUUCUAUUAGACUUUUC